ACACACAUGUGUGUGCACAUAUGUGUGCUGCACACACAUGUGUGUGCACAUAUGUGUGCUGCACACACAUGUGUGU